AGGCGCGCACGCCCCGUCCCUUUCCUUCGCCACGCCCCGGACCUCCCUUCUCCCUGCAGCUUCGCGCCCCUUCUUGCCCCGCCCUCUGGGGCAUGCGCAGUGUUCGAUCGUGCGCCUACCGCCCGAUUCCACCACCACUGGAGGAGUGGGCGUCUGGUCUCUGGUGUUGUAGACGGUUUGUUAACAGUUCUUGGGAAACCGUGCGAAAGCCCUCUGAGGGGUGUCUGUAAACCGUAAAGCCACUGCCUCAAAUGGAAAUACUCGGUCCCUGGUACCUGGCACUGGCCUUUUCAAAGACACUUUUCCUCCAUCAUAUAUCCUCCGUGGUCUGCCGGAUUUGCAGCUCGCCACAGUGCUGUCCUGGCUGGCCCGCGCCGUGGUCAAGCCCCUGGGAGGGACUGCUUUCUGCCAUUCUUAUAAAAAGGAGAAACCCCCCCAGGGGAAAGACUCUGCCUUGUACAGCCAGAAAAUGCAGUUGCACAUUUUUCUGAUUAACUACAUUACAACAUGCCUCUCACACUGGAGAAUGCACAGUCCCAAUUCUGCACGGGGAAGAUGCGAAACAGCAGAAUUUUGGUGAUACAUCUUCUUGGAGCAUCAGUUUUACUACAAGAUUUGGAAGAAAUGGAGUAAGGUAAUUUGCAAGGAGCAGUAAUGCAGGGAACUGUGGCUCCUUCAGACACCAGUACUCUAUCAGAGGACUGUCUCCUGCCGAAUCUGAUCUGCACCUCACAGUCCUUGUCACCACAGAGUUCCAGGCAGCUGCCACACAACAAUUGGUGUUGAUUUACAGAGGCUGAGACAGCAGAGUGGAAACGGCACCAGUGGCUGCAACGGAAAAAAAAUUGGUGGCUACUGCUACAGUCUGAAUGUUUGUGUUCCCCCAAAAUUCAUAUGUUGAAACUCAUUCACCAAUGUGUCCAUGCUAAGAGGUGUAAAACAUUUGGGAGGUUAUGAAUAGGCUUAAUGUACUUAUAAAAGAAGCCCCAAGGCUAGGUGAGAUGGCUCACACCUGUAAUUCUAGCACUUUGGGAGCCUGAGGCAAGAGGAUUGUGUGAAGCCAAGAAUUAGAGACCAGCCUGAACAAGACCCCCUCAUCUCUACAGAAUGUUGGCUAAGCAUGGUGGUGCAUACUUGUAGUCCCAGCCAUGAGGGAGGCUGAAGCAAGAGGAUCACUUGAGCCCAGGAGUUUGAGAGGUUGAAGUGAGCUCGGAUGAUACUACUGUACUGUAGCUGGGGUGACAGAGGGAGACCUUGUCCCAAAAAGAAAAAAGCCCCAGAGAGCUGCUUUGCCUCUUCUACCGUAUGAAGACCUAUUGCAAAGACACCAUGUAUGACCAAGGAAGUGGGCCCUCUCGAGGCACAUAUCUGCCAGAACCUCAGCAUCCAAAACUGUGAUAAACAAAUUUCUGUUGUUUAUAAGCUACUCAGUCUAUGGUAUUCUGUCAUAGCAGUCCAAAUGGGCUAAUACACUGAAGAAGGAUGCAUUGUCUUCCUCAGAGCAAGACAACUUCUUCUCUCCUCGGCUGCUCUUUCUCUGACUCGUAUGGAGAUCAGUGAAGCACACACUCAUAUAAAGAUGGCAGCUCCAUAGGCCCUGUUAAUACAUGGAAGUGUACAAAUGAAGUCAUAUUUUGAAAAUAGAGCACAAAAUAUUUUGUAAUCUGCUCAAUCACACAUGUUCAUAAAUUUGAAAAUGUCUGAAAGUUUUUAUACAACUCAUUCUUCUUGUUUAAACUUUAAAACAUACAUUGGUGCAUAAAAACAAGUUGGCACAUAAAAAAUGUAAAUGUUGGCUCAGCACCUGUAGCACAGUGGUUAUAGGGACAGCCACAUACACCGAGGCUGGCAGGUUUGAACCCAGCCUGGGCCAACUAAACAACAAUGACAACCACAACAAAUAAUAACUGGGCGUCGUGGCAGGCGCCUGUAGUCCCAGGUACUCGGGAGGCUGAGGCAAGAGAAUUGCCUAAGCCCAGGAGUUGGAGGUUGCUGUGAGCUGUGACACCACAGCACACUACUGAGGGCGAUAAAGUGAGACUCUGUCUCUAAAAAAAGAAAGAAAAAAUGUAAAUCUUAGCUAUACAAAAACUCCAAGUAUCUAGAAUGAGGUAUUUCCCAAAAGUCUGUGUAACUUGGAUUUUACUAUCCUUUGAAAACUGUUAAAGGCUAGUACAGUAGAUGAAAUCUUAUGCACUCACAAAGAAAGGUGCAAUUGCUAUUAUACAUAAUUAUUAACAAUUAUAUAAUACUUUGUAUUUGUACAUAUGAUACCUGUAAUGAAUCACUGCUAUAAGCACUUUAUCUUCACUAUCUCGCCAGACUCCUCGGUGAAGCAGGUUUUGCUAUCUUCAAUUUAGAGUACUAUUAAUUAGUUAACUACACAGAACUGAAUCACUAGGUAAAAACAUGGAAGACUCAAAAAUUACAAUGUCAAAUGAAAAGCACAAGUUACAGAAGUAUAGCACAUUUGUAGAAAAUUUCAUAACUUACAGAGUUAAACAAUAUACCAUUAACUAAGAUAGACUCUCAUUGGAUUAAAGAUUUAAACUUAAAACAUGAAACUAUAAAAAUACUAGAGGAGAAUGCAGGGAAAACCCUUGAAGAAAUUGGUCUGGGUGAGUGUUUCAUGAGGAGAACCCCCUGGGCAAUUGAAGCAGCUUCAAAAAUACACUACUGGGACUUGACCAAACUAAAAAGCUUCUGCACAGCUAAGAACACAGUAAGCAAAGCAAGCAGACAGCCCUCAGAAUGGGAGAAGAUAUUUGCAGGGUAUAUCUCUGACAAAGGUUUAAUAACCAGAAUCCACAGAGAACUCAAACGCAUCAGAAGAAAAAAAGGGAUCCCAUCGCAGGCUGGGCAAGGGAUUUGAAGAGAAACUUCUCUGAAGAAGACAGGCGCA